UACGGAGGGUGCAAGCGUUAAUCGGAAUUACUGGGCGUAAAGCGUGCGCAGGCGGUUUGUUAAGUCCGUUGUGAAAGCCCCGAGCUCAACUUGGGAAUUGCAGUGGAUACUGGCAGGCUGGAGUACGGAAGAGGCAAGUGGAAUUCCCGGUGUAGCGGUGAAAUGCGCAGAUAUCGGGAGGAACACCAGUGGCGAAGGCGGCGAUCUGGGAAGAUACUGACGCUGAGGUGCGAAAGCGUGGGGAGCAAACAGG
rnacentral:rRNA from 1 species